UGCUUCAUGUAGCUGGCAUUCAGCAUAAAAUCAACCAUUGAAAGGUACAAGAAGGCACGUGCUGACAGUUCCCAGUCAAAUUUAGUUAGAGGUCAAUUCUAAGCAAUAUAUCGGCAAGAAGCAGCAAGAUUUUGUCAUCAGAUACAGAUUUUACAGAAAACUAAGAGCAUGAGCUCUUACUUGUGGAAAUUGAACACAUGCAGAAAGGAAGUAGAAUUUCAAAAUGACGAUAUGUAUCUCACUACUAAGGUUGCAAAUCUUUAGCAAGUGAACUGAUGUGACUCAAACUCCAUAUUCAAGGUGUCUGCCAAGUUACAUGACUUUCCCGCUAUGUAAAAAGCCAUGAGACAUGUUCAUUAAAGGUUUGCAAACAAGCAUCGUUCUGAAGAUCAAGGCGGCGACAAAUUCUGGACGAAUGGCCUCUACGAGCCAACCCGAGCAGAAUAAUGCGAUGCAUGCAUCGCAGAUACUUUGGGGUGGUGUUCCAGAUACACCAGAGUAGUUUCUCGAGCUAUUUUCUGUGCAGAAACUCAACAUCCCGACCCACUCUUUGCUAUCCUUGAGCAUCCGUAUCUUCGUCUGAGGUCUAGUCUUUGUCACAAACAUGCCCUCUUAACUCUCUUGACUCUUGCGUACAUAUAUAACAUUGUUUUUAACUAAUUGUACCUUGCAUUCUCCUGUGGAGGCAUCAAACCCCAAUCCUGCGUUCUCGUCUUCUAAAUUUUCUCGACAAUUAGUGUUGGG